rnacentral:lncRNA from 1 species
UUUUUGUGAAAAUAGCUAUAAUGGUAACGAUAAUAACUUUAGAACUUAUAGUGAACCACAGCAAUCAAACUAGGGACACAUGAAGGGGGGACAAUUAUGGAGAAAAAGAAAAAGCUCAGGCAGCCCCUGUGAUGGUGGGAUGGUCGGAUGCCAGAUACCAGAGCAGAGAGUUUUAAAAUAAAACAGAAGUGGGCUAUAGUUCUUAGCAGGAGGAAGAAUGAGAAGAUGCCAGGAAAGCUGUAGGUUCCUUGCAGACAGUCGUCACGAAUGCAUAAAUGGAACUAUAAAAAUCUGCCAGAGAAGGAACCAUGAUCCAUGGUCAGGAGAGUUACUGCAGCUUCUGGUUCAGGACUGUCAUACCCACAGUUUGAAAAAAAAAAUAGCUAUUGAUUAAUGAAUAAGGUGGCAGAUAUAAGAUAUAUAUAUAUUCCUGAGGCCUUUUUAUAUGUUGUGGUUUUUGUCUUUUUCUUUUCAUUACAUCAGAUAUUUCCUCUGUGAAUUAGGGUAAGGAUGUCAGGAAUAAAAAUUAAGGAAUUUAUUCAUUUAAAAUCUUUUUUAGAGGUUUACAAGAUCAAAAAAGUUAAGAAUCACUGGCCAUGGAAUUUAUUUCCAAUUCCUUUCAGUUUGCCUGAGCUUAGGCAAGGCUCCAGAAGUCACCUCUUUUCAGCCAAAGGAGUUGAGCCAAGCUGAGAAGAGUCCUAUUAGCCAAGGGCUUUGCCAUCUUUCCAACUUGUUAACCGUUUCCUGUUCUGACACUGGCUUCAGCUUAAACUAAAUCGUAUGGGAAACAGCCAUGUUCUGCUAUAUUCUACCAGAUAAAGGUCAAAAAAACUUCUUAGUCUCUUUAUGGGAUAUGAUUUGGGGUUAAAAAGUUUUUAUUUUGGUACUAGAGGAGUUUCAAUUCAAAGCUGUAAUUUUUAAGGUUCAAACCUAACAGAGAUUGAUGUCAGUAACCUUGAAAAUGGUCAAAUCCUUUAAUGUGUUCAGAAAUUUUUGUAAGGUACAAUUUAGAGCAGC